UACACACACACACUAAAAUAUAUAUAUAUAUAUAUUUUUUUUAAGAGAUGGAGUCUCACUAUGUUGCCUAGGCUGGUCUCAAAUUCCUGGGCUCAAGCAAUUCCCCCACCUUGGCCUCCCAAAGUGCUGGGAUCAUAGGCUUGAUCCACCAUGCCUGGCCCUGUGAAGUAUUUUAAGGUUUAUUCUGAGCCAGUAUGAGUGAUGGAGGCCCAGGGAAAACACAAACCCAAGAAGCCUUGAGUAAGUGGUCCUGAGGCAGUCAGAAUGUAACUUUGUCUAUGGCGGUGAGUGGUGGCUCAAGCCUAUACUCCCAGCGCUAUGGGAGGCCUAGGGAGGCGGAUCACUUGAGAUCAGGAGUUCAAGAAUGUAACUUUGUUUUAUACAUUUUAGGGAAGCAAAAGUUACAGCCAAAACCGUAAAUCAAUACAUGGAGGUUAUACACUAGUUUAGCCCGAAAACAUGAGAUAUCUUGAAGCAGGGGCUUACAGGUCACAGUGGGUUCAGAGAUUUUUUAAAUUUGCAGUGGGUUAAAGGAACAAAGCUUUGUCUAAAAACUUGGAGUUAGCAGAAAGGAAUGUUGAAAUUGGGAUAAGGAUGCUGUGUCAGAGUCCGGUUGUGAGAGCAAGCUUCAAUAUACUGGGUCAAAAUGACCUACUUAUCAAGACAGAUGGCCUGCAGGUGUGACCUAACCCUUGCCUUGCAUGGCUUUAGGUCCUGUUUAUAAUUUGGUAUUUUAUUGCCACAGAGUUUGUUCUGUCAGUCUUUUGAUUUCUAUUGUAACAUUAUUGCUAGUCAGUUGUGCCUAAAUUCCAAAAGGGAGGGGAUGUCUUGAGGCCUUUCUGACCUCCUUUCCUGUCAUGGCCAGGAACUAAUUUUUAAGAUUUCUCUGGUGUCUUCUUGGCUAAGAGGGGGUCCAUUUAGUCAUUUGAGGGCUUAUAGUUUUGUUUUUCAUUUACAUGUGUGUAUUUUUGUACGUAUGUAAAAUACAUAUAUAUUUUACGUAUAUAAACUGCUUCUAAUGCUAUGUAGCAUGUCCCAUAUGAGUACAUCAAGGACCUGCUCACUCUUUUUUUUUUAUCUUCAGAGUAGACAUUGUAAAAAUGUAUCAUAAUCCACUAAGUUUCCAUUGGUGGACAUUUAAGUGACUUAUAAUCUUUUGCCAUUACAAACAGUGCUGUUGUGAAUACUCUUCUACUUACAUUAUUUCACUUCUAUGCCAAAAUAUUUUUAGAAGCAAUUUCUCAAAAGGUGUGUACAUUUGGCAUUUGGAAUUUUGACAAGGUAUUACAGAAGUGCCUUCUGGAGAAGUUAUGCCCAUUUAUGCUACACCAGCAAUAUAUAAUGGUGCCAUUUCACCCAUCCCUCCUAGAAAUGUGUUAUCAGACUUAUUGAUAUUUGCACUGACUUGAGUUUUGCUUUAGUUCUGGCUGCCAGAGAAAUAUUUGUUCUUUCACAUUUUCUGAACUGGUUGUUUGCCCUUCCAAUCAAUUUUGCAUGUGGCGUCCUUUCAACAAAUUCUUUUUUUUUUUUUUUUAGAAAUAGGGUCUCUCACAGAGAAACACACAUACGAACUAAUGUGUAAAUGUUUUUGUUCCUCCUCAUUGAUGACAAAAUGAUGGAAUAAUGCUUAAAGAUCAUGAGUUCUACAGUCAGACAGCCUGAGUUGGAGGCUCAUCUUCACUUCUUGCUGUGUGACCCUGGGCCAGUGACUUAACUUCUCUAUGCCAUUUUCUUAUCUGCAAAAGGAGGGUAAUACUAGUAUCUGUCUCAUAGGGUUGUAGUAAAUUGAUUAUUAAUUGCUAUAUGAAUAUUCAUGGAAAACUUAUAAAUAGUUCAUAUUUCUUUUAGCAGACAGUUUUGACAUGGACAUAUGUUUUUGACAUGGACAUAUGUUCUCAUGAUUCUCAUAUUGUGUACAUAUAAUGUAGUCUUGUGAAUUAAGCAGAUGUUUCUCAAGGGACACCAUAACACUUAGAGGCUCUGUCAUUUGAAUAAAUUUGAGCCCACCAAUGUAAAACAUGCAGAAAAUCUUGAGUCGUAUGUUCAGUCUCUGUUCUGUAUCUUGCCACGUUUUGACCUCAUGCAAGUUGCCUAAUAUUUCAAUCUCAAAUUUUUAAUCUGUAAAAUGAGUUACUUAUAUUUAUGUAACUUCUAGAAUUUUUCAGUGCUCAAAUAAAAUAUUACAAAAUAUGAAGCCAAAAAAAGAGGGAAAGAAACAGGGUCUCAUUCUGUCUCUGAGGCUGAAGUGCAGUGGCACGAUCAUAGCUCACUGCAGUCUCCAACACCUGGGGUCAAGCAAUCCUCCUGCCUCAGCCUUCCAGUAGCCAGGACCACAAGCACACACUGCCACAUCUAGCUAAUUUUUUUUUUGUAGUGACAAGGUAUCAAUAUUUUGCCCAGGGUGGCAUCAAACUCCUGGCCUCAAGCAGUCCUCUUAUUAGGGAAGCAGGAGCCUAGGAGAGCCAGUGACACCAUUGAAAAAUCAACCCCAUCUUAAAACUAGCAAGGCACAUUCCUUGCCAGUGACAACCCAUGGUCCUGAUAUGUUUACAAUUAAGAAAGCAGCUUGAUAAUGCCUGUAAGGACAAACUCCUACAACAACAGAAAGUCCAGAUGUCCUGAUCCCCAUAACAAUGUAUCCUUUCACAUAAUUAUAGUUAUGCUUUAAUGUACUUACACACCAAAAGGUCAAGCAUAGUUUUCAUUAAAUCAGUAAAAUAAUAAAUUUUGUCAUGCUGUCUGCCCGUCUGCACAUAGAUACAACUGAGCUUAGUCUUUACAUUGACAAGAACCCUAUAUAAGAAAAACGUGGCUGGAUGGCCAGGCGUGGUGGCUCAUGAUUGUAAUCCCAGCACUUUGGGAGGCCAAGGAGGGUGGAUCACUAGAUGUCAGGGGUUCCAGGCCACCCUGGCCAACAUGGUGAAACCCCUUCUCUACUAAAAAAAUACAAAAAAGGCUGGGCACGGUGGUUCACGCC
rnacentral:lncRNA from 10 species